AUUUACUUUCAAGGCCCCACCUGAGCUGUGCAUGGACCCUUCUAACAUGUUGCCACUCUCUGGACACUCGGGGGAAAUGGCCCCUCAGGAAGGCCACUUCCCUUCAUCUUCAGAUUUGGGAUCAGCCAAUGAGGGGCCGGCUGAUUGCCAGAGCCACGUGUGAGACUCGCCUGGUUUUAAGGAACAUCACCACCUGCCCAAGAAUUGACUUGAAUUCAGUGUUCCCUUUCACCAAGAGACUCAAAAUGUACCAAAACUGUGCCCACUGAUUUAUGUAAUGUACUUAAGGUCCUAUUAGUUCACUGGAAAACCAAAUAUAUUUCUAGGCAAGACCACUUUUCAAGAGCAAACCGCUACUUUCAGUUACACUAAUAAAACCUAUAACUGUAACGGUUGUCUUUUAUAUUUACUGGGAAAGAAAAGAGAAUUAGGCCAAACCAUUUUCAUUUUACUUUUCAUUUCUAUAGAUUUGAGUUUGAAAGCCAUCAGGUCAGGUGUUGUUUUUCCCUGUAUAACCCAGAAUGGUUUGUGCUAUUCCUUGGUUCUAUGUGCUACUACUUGGUUCCAUCCACAGUUAAGGAGAAAGAGAAUGUCUUCUUUCUGUCCCGGUCUGUUUCUGGUGCCUGUCACCUUCCUUGACAGGUGGUCGCUGCUCAAUAAAUGUUUUGUGAACCACAGAAUGUAUGAAGGGGCCAGUAAAUAGUUUGUCUUCUUUCAGGUCCAGAAAAACCAAGGCGGAGAGAGAAUAAGUAACUUGCAAGUAUCUUAAAAUGCAAUACGUAUUUUGUUAAGAGUCCAUUCUCAUUUUUACAAGGGGGAAAAAGGGAGGGGGAGUUAGCCUGAAAACUUUGUGCCAACUUCAUCUAAGACACCGUUUAGGUAAAUUUGGGUAUGAGGAGAGCUUUUGAGUGGCAGAGUAUUGUCAAAGACUUGUGACAGAACUUACCGAUCUCUCUGAAGUCUUGACACCCGAGUGUCCCUAACCACAGCUGCCCCCUGAGAAUAUGUAAUGACAGGGCAAGGGCUUCUUACAUUUUCCAAAAUUACAAAACUGCUAUAGAUAUAAACAACUCUUUGGAGUUUAUUUUUUUAUUCCAUUGGGCCUGUUUGGAACCAUAGAGAAACAUCACCAUCAUCAUUGUUACUAUUUCUAUUAGUUUGCAAGCAUCGUCCCUUGACCAGGGUCUUAUAUUGGCUUGAUACAAAUAUGGAAAAAAGGAUAGAGUGAACUGGGGAGUGAAAAAUAGAGCAUUCAUUCCUUUAGUAAUCAUUCCACUGGCUUUCCGGAGAUCCACCUGCCCCCUAGAGGUACAGGGGAGAGUGACUGAUGCUCCCUGACCGCAGGUGGUUCAGGGCCUCAGGCAGAACAGGGACAUCAUCACAGAGUUGCUAAGAGUCUGUGAUUUGGAUCUGGUGCAUAAGCUCUCUUGACCUGUUUACUCAUCUGCAGAUGGGGUCCUAAGAAGUAGGGAAGUGAUGGGACCUACUUCUUAGGACUGCCAUGAGAUUAAAUAAGGUAAUGGCCCUAAAAGGCUUAGCCCACUUGUAUCACUUGGAAUGCUUUUGCUUACAAGGGGAAAAAAAAAAAAAAAA
rnacentral:lncRNA from 1 species